GAGAUCGUGAUCUGUGGUGAAACCAAGAGUCGGAUGCUUAAGCGACUGAGCCACCCAGGCGCCCCUGGGUCUGUAUCUCCUUUUUGUCUCUAGAUAUAUUGAAGAGUUUUCAAUUAAAAUUUCCCGGUGGAAGGGUCUUUUCAUUUUUAAGACCUGGUUUCGUUGCAUGAUACCGUAGAAUGCUGCCUAUGUGAUUUCUAUUUCUUGGGACUUAUUCAGCCUGUAGCCCUGAUCAUCCCCGUCCUCGACCCCAGCAGGCCUUGUCCACAGGCCACAGCCUGGCCCCUCCCUGGGACGCUGCUCAGACCAGCAGGAUUUUGUGGUUGUGCAGAGUCCAAAACUGUGCACAGUUUUCGGCCUGGAGUCCAAAAGGAGGAGGACCUCACGUUCCUUGCGUCUGAAGAAAGAACUGGCUUGUUCGUCCCUGGUCCUCUCUGUCCUCCGGCCCUCCUGCCCAGCGCUGCCACCUGCUGAAGACAACGGCCAGGCCGCCUCCUUCCUGAUCUUCCACCGCUGUGGGUCUCGGUCCCUCCUCUUCCUCUCUCCACCCGGAGAGCCCUCUUUUCUCUGACUCGGGCCCAGGACUGUGUCCCUGGGGUUGUUUCUGAGCGGGCAGGGCAGGACCAUGGCUGGGAAGGAUCGGGAAGCCCUGACAUGCUUGGUCUAGGAAGCAGAGCCCCGGGGAAAGCCAACGGACCAGCCACACUUUCCACCCCUUUGGACCCAGGGCUGGACCACGGGGAGAGGGUGCUGGGCACUGUGCCAAUCACAUUACGUAAGCAAGCAGUCUAAGAACAAAACAGAAUAAAAAGUUGAAGCCAU